rnacentral:snRNA from 1 species
GGAGUCCGGAGACGUCGG